rnacentral:rRNA from 1 species
UACGUAGGUGGCGAGCGUUGUCCGGAUUUACUGGGCGUAAAGAGCGCGCAGGCGGUCGUACAAGUCGCGUGUGAAAGCCCCCGGCUCAACUGGGGAGGGUCACGCGAUACUGUUCGACUCGAAGGCAGGAGAGGGAAGCGGAAUUCCCGGUGUAGUGGUGAAAUGCGUAGAUAUCAGGAGGAACACCAGUGGCGAAGGCGACUACCUGGCCUGUUCUUGACGCUGAGGCGCGAAAGCUAGGGGAGCAAACGGG